UACCUGGUCUUGACAUCCCGGAGACCCUUAGGAAACUAGGGGUGCUUCCAUCUGGAAGAAUCUGGAGACAGGUGCUGCAUGGCUGUCGUCAGCUCGUGUCGUGAGAUGUUGGGUUAAGUCCCGCAACGAGCGCAACCCUUGCCUUUAGUUGCCAGCAGUUCGGCUGGGCACUCUAAAGGGACUGCCGGUGUUAAACCGGAGGAAGGUGGGGAUGACGUCAAGUCCUCAUGGCCUUUAUGACCAGGGCUACACACGUACUACAAUGGCCGAUACAAAGGGCAGCGACACUGCGAGGUGAAGCCAAUCCCGUAAAAUCGGUCUCAGUCCGGAUUGGAGUCUGCAACUCGACUCCAUGAAGUUGGAAUCGCUAGUAAUCGUGGAUCAGCAUGCCACGGUGAAUACGUUCCCGGGCCUU
rnacentral:rRNA from 1 species